rnacentral:rRNA from 1 species
GAUGAACGCUGGCGGCGUGCCUAAUACAUGCAAGUCGAGCGAACGGACGAGAAGCUUGCUUCUCUGAUGUUAGCGGCGGACGGGUGAGUAACACGUGGAUAACCUACCUAUAAGACUGGGAUAACUUCGUGAAACCGGAGCUAAUACCGGAUAAUAUUUUGAACCGCAUGGUUCAAAAGUGAAAGACGGUCUUGCUGUCACUUAUAGAUGGAUCCGCGCUGCAUUAGCUAGUUGGUAAGGUAACGGCUUACCAAGGCAACGAUGCAUAGCCGACCUGAGAGGGUGAUCGGCCACACUGGAACUGAGACACGGUCCAGACUCCUACGGGAGGCAGCAGUAGGGAAUCUUCCGAAAUGGGCGAAAGCCUGACGGAGCAACGCCGCGUGAGUGAUGAAGGUCUUCGGAUCGUAAAACUCUGUUAUUAGGGAAGAACAUAUGUGUAAGUAACUGUGCACAUCUUGACGGUACCUAAUCAGAAAGCCACGGCUAACUACGUG